rnacentral:hammerhead_ribozyme from 1 species
AUCCAGCUUAUGAGUCCCAAAUAGGAUGAAACGUGCAUCCUGGAU